rnacentral:rRNA from 1 species
CAGCAGCCGCGGUAAUACGUAGGGCGCGAGCGUUGUCCGGAUUUAUUGGGCGUAAAGAGCUCGUAGGCGGCCUGUCACGUCAAUCGUGAAAUUCUGCGGCUUAACCGUGGGAGUGCGGUUGAUACGGGCAGGCUAGAGUGCGGUAGGGGAGACUGGAAUUCCUGGUGUAGCGGUGAAAUGCGCAGAUAUCAGGAGGAACACCGGUGGCGAAGGCGGGUCUCUGGGCCGUCACUGACGCUGAGGAGCGAAAGCGUGGGGAGCGAACAGGAUUAGAUACCCUGGUAGUCCACGCUGUAAACGUUGGGCGCUAGGUGUGGGGAUCCUUCCCGGGUCUCCGUGCCGUAGCUAACGCAUUAAGCGCCCCGCCUGGGGAGUACGGCCGCAAGGCUAAAACUCAAA